UACGAAGGGGGCUAGCGUUACUCGGAUUGACUGGGCGUAAAGGGCGCGUAGGCGGAUGGUACAGUCAGACGUGAAAUUCCUGGGCUCAACCUGGGGGCUGCGUUUGAUACGUGCUGUCUGGAGUUCGGAAGAGGGUCGUGGAAUUCCCAGUGUAGAGGUGAAAUGCGUAGAUAUCACUUGGAACGCCGAAGGUGAAAACAGCUCGCUGGGGUUGUGCUGACGCUGAGACACGAAAGCCAGGGGAGCGAACGGG
rnacentral:rRNA from 1 species